AUGGCGUCACUUCGGUCAGCUCUCUCAUUAGAUUAUUCUGCAUGGGACUGCGUUCUGGAAGAGGCCGACUCACUGGAUGAAGGUUCUUCUAAACGAAACAGAUGAGGCAGCAGCAUAUACAGCAUGCGAGUUUUUAACAAGUAUGGAGACUCCCUCACAUGAGGAGUUUGUCAUCGGUGAUGAUGAAGGCGGCAGAGUCCCGUGUCGUGGACUUCACUCUUUGCUCUACAGACUGAGGAUGGUUUUUGGAAAUUGACACCAGAACUAGGACUAAUACUAAAACUUAACGUAAAUGCUCUGCUCAAUUCUCUUGAAGAGAAGGGCAUUCGAUCUCUAGGUACAAAAGGAAGAGAGCAACUCCUGGACCUGAUCGCCACUUUACUCGUACUGCAGUUUCUUUAUACCAAGUUGGAACAAGAAGGAAUGGCUGCCGAAUCUCUGAUAAAGAUGGAUGACGUCCUCAUUUCUAGGAAUAUUCCAUGGGCUUUUGAGAACAUAAAGAAAGCAAGAGAAUGGGCCAGAAGAACAGAAAGACAGUAUCCAUCUAUUUGCCAACGGCUCGAGCUGGGUAAAGACUGGGAGUCAGCCACAAAGCAACUACUGGGAAUUCAGCCCCAAGGCAACACUUCCCUUCACCGAAUUCUACACUACAGUCAAGGCUGAAGCCAAUGGAGUUGCACUGUAAACCUUCCUCAUAUAUCUUUUGUUGCUCUUUUGGUUUUGUUUUUUCAAGACACGGUUUCUCUGUGAAGCCCUGGCUGUCCUGGAACGCACUCUGAACAGCAGGCUGGCCUCACAUUCAAGGGACCUGCUGGCCUCUGCGUUCCAAGUGCUGGGUUUAAAGGUGUGUGCGCCACUGCCCUGCUGCCUUUCUCAUAUUUAGAAAAUAAUCAAAUAAUAAAAGGUAUCAAUAAUGACAUGUAAUCUGUUUUAAGUGUAGCUAUCAUCUCCUUUAAAAUAAAAUUAAUGGAAAGAAUUGAUUAAUCAUUUAACGACAAUAAAAGCUGUAAGAACUA